GACUGGUUAAAAGAUAAUGAGUUAUCUCAAUUGGUUGUUCACAGUCAGUUACAGAUCAAACUCGUUCUUCUAUUCUUCCUCCCCUUCUCACUACUGCACUUGAAUAGUCUUCA
ensembl:misc_RNA Y_RNA Y RNA